UUGCUCCUUAAAAAACCUUAUUUCUAUCGCAGAUGGCCUUUUCUAUUGGGAUUGAAUCCAAACAGACCAUCAGAAUCGAGCUCCCCUAAUGCCUCUUCUCUUCUCCAACUCAAGGAUGCCAUUGCUCAAUCGAUUUACUCAACAACCUCUUCUUCGUCUCUCCGCCUCUCCCUCAACAAGAACGAUGAGCUCUUCGCUUCUUCUCCUCACGGUUCGCUCCAUUCCCUAGACAUACAUGUUUAAGUACGAUUCCGUUCAUGGACCAUGGAAGCAUCAUGAGCUUAAGGUCAAGGACUCUAAGACCCUUCUCUUCAGUGAGAAGCCCGUCACUGUUUUCGGUGUCAGGAACCUAGAAGAAAUCCCAUGGGGCGAGACCCGUGCCGACUUUGUUGUUGAAUCAAUUGGAGUUUUCACUGACAAGGACAAAGCUGCUGCUCACUUGAAGGUUUGCUUCGAUUUUCUUUUAAUGAUUUAAUCUUAAUUUUCUACUUAUUAGGUAGAAUUAGACUAUCACGACUAUGGUGACAUAUAUUGUUAUUGUUGGAACCUGCAUUAUUUGGAAUUGAUUUAUUAUUUAGGUCUUUUUAUUAUUUCAUUGGUAAUAUAGACUUGAAUUUGAAUUGGUUCGCUAUUGCACGGUGGUGCUAAGAAGGUUAUCAUCUCUGCCCCAAGUAAAGAUGCACUUAUGUUCGUUGUUGGUGUCAAUGAGAACGAAUACAAGCCAGACUUGAUUUUUUGGCUCUCUUUUUGGCUUUCUUUUGUGUACUAAUUCACUUGAUUUUUUCGUUUACUGAUCUCAACGAUGGUAAGGGCUUAAGAACGAAUCUCUGCUGUUGAUUUUUCUUGUCUUUUGAUGGAAUGUUGGGUGUAGAUUAAGUGAAAAAUUUGUUAACGUAAGCUUAUCAAGUGAGCAAGAUACUGCCCAAAAGUUUGAGGAGGAUACUAUGGUUUGGUCUGCACUUGUAACAGAGGUUUAUUUGGUUGACCUUCCUAUAAGUUGGUCAAGUGUGAGAAAUGUAAUGGACAUGAAUGCUGGUUAUGAAAGUUACCAUCCCGAUCCGCACCCGGGCUUACAUUGAUUACAUGACAUACAUGUUUAAGUACGAUUCCGUUCAUGGACCAUGGAAGCAUCAUGAGCUUAAGGUCAGGGACUCUAAGAUCCUUCUCUUCGGUGAGAAGCCCGUCACUGUUUUCGGUGUCAGAAAGAGAGACCCCAUCAACAAUGUACGACGAGGAAGAAGAUGCAUUUUAAUCUGAUAGCUGAUAAGGGAAUCAAUAGUUGGGUUUCUCACCAAAAAGAGCAUUUCCCAUGAACAAUUUUCUCAAUUCCUUUGAGAGAGGAUACAGUGGUAAGAGUUGGGAGUUCUAAGGAGUUACAAAGAAAAUUACCAUGCUUUAGGUUUCUUAACUUUGCUGCGACACUGCUACUGAAGCUGAAUUGUUCCAGGUUCAGUGAAGGCAAAGUGGAAUCACAAUUUUUUGGAGAUAAUGGAUUUGGAUCUUCAUUUGAUGCAUUUGGUAGCGUAUUUCAAACGAGAUGUGUCUUUCCUUCUUAAAUGAUUUGAAUGAUUGAUUUUAUUCUUUCUUCCACGUCGAAAACAAUAACUACUAACUAUUGAUCUGUUUUUUUUCA